CAUGCCGGCCGGCUUACCAUGCAGUCGAACGAUGAACCACUUCGGUGGGGAUUAGUGGCGAACGGGUGAGUAACACGUGGGCAAUCUGCCCUGCACUCUGGGACAAGCCCUGGAAACGGGGUCUAAUACCGGAUACUGAUCCUCGCAGGCAUCUGCGAGGUUCGAAAGCUCCGGCGGUGCAGGAUGAGCCCGCGGCCUAUCAGCUUGUUGGUGAGGUAACGGCUCACCAAGGCGACGACGGGUAGCCGGCCUGAGAGGGCGACCGGCCACACUGGGACUGAGACACGGCCCAGACUCCUACGGGAGGCAGCAGUGGGGAAUAUUGCACAAUGGGCGAAAGCCUGAUGCAGCGACGCCGCGUGAGGGAUGACGGCCUUCGGGUUGUAAACCUCUUUCAGCAGGGAAGAAGCGAAAGUGACGGUACCUGCAGAAGAAGCGCCGGCUAACUACGUGCCAGCAGCCGCGGUAAUACGUAGGGCGCAAGCGUUGUCCGGAAUUAUUGGGCGUAAAGAGCUCGUAGGCGGCUUGUCACGUCGGUUGUGAAAGCCCGGGGCUUAACCCCGGGUCUGCAGUCGAUACGGGCAGGCUAGAGUUCGGUAGGGGAGAUCGGAAUUCCUGGUGUAGCGGUGAAAUGCGCAGAUAUCAGGAGGAACACCGGUGGCGAAGGCGGAUCUCUGGGCCGAUACUGACGCUGAGGAGCGAAAGCGUGGGGAGCGAACAGGAUUAGAUACCCUGGGUAGUCCACGCCGUAAACGGUGGGCACUAGGUGUGGGCACAUUUCCACGUUUGUCCGUGCCGCAGCUUAACGCAUUAAAGUUGCCCCCGCCCUU
rnacentral:rRNA from 1 species